rnacentral:lncRNA from 1 species
UGACAUCCCAAGAAGAUUUAUUGUACAUAUUCUGCCAUUUUUCACUAUUCCCUGCUGCCCCUAGAAGUAAAGAUAGCCCCAGUUGAUAAGAACCAGCCAAUAUUUAAAGCUACACUUCAUGGUCAGAACCACCAUCUUUCAAGAACUCAGAACCUCCACAAAAGAGAAAGUUCCCCUUUACCAUUCCUCCCUGACAAUGUCAGGGCUCUUGAAGGGAGAAUUUCUGGUGCCAUUAGUGUGGAAGGAAAAUCUGGAAAUUCAGGUUUUGCCACUGGUUCCUGUUCAGGAACAUGCACCUGUGGGAGGGAGCCCCUUCCACAUCCUGACUUCUUGUCAUAUUCCGACUCUCACCCUCAAACUCUGCUAGCUAAGGCCUCACCUCAGGGUAAAGCCAUUGUUGAGUCCACCUUUGAGCCACUCUUCCUCAAUCUCUCCUCAGCAUACUUCAGCUGGACUCUUCCUGCACUGACAAUCAGGUGACCUGUCUCAGUUGACCUCAGGUGACCUGGAUGGCUGUGACGACACACAAGGCAAUGAGGAAGCACAGGAACCUGCUAAGCAGCUACACAGGCCAGCCUAGAGGUGCCCAGGAACACCACUAAAGAAGUAACAGUAGCUUCGACUAGAAGAGGGACCUUUGGUCCCUUAUUCCUGUGACAAUCCCAUGCUCACAGUACACUUCUCUCUUCCUCUAACUCUCUGACUCUGCUUCUUAUCAUUUCAGCAGCUUGUUUCUUUCUAGUUCUACUAUGGCUCUGUAGAAUUAAAGCUUCUAACACUGGAAGUUGCCCAUGAAAUAUCAUGGGUUGCAUCAGUGAGUCACCUCCCCUACAGGGCAGAAUUCAUACAUUAGGCUUCCACAGAGCCGUCUGGUAAAUCUAAAUCCAAAUCUCCUUUGGCCAUGUUAUAGAUUCCUAACCAGUUCAAUCAUGGCCAAUUAUCAGGGUCACAUGACAGAAAGUGUGACAAUAUACAUACAGAGAAUAGACUUUGCUAGUUUGCUCUAAAGGCAAAUUGUACAUACUUUGUUAUUACACCUAUAAUGAUAUAGUAUAAUUAUUUCUUCAUAGUCCAGUCCCCUCCAUAGUGAUAGUCCUAAUGCUGCAACUAAAGAUGCUCCAGUGACAGCAUCUUCAUCUGGGCACCUCUGGCACAUAGCAUGGCACCUGAUACAUGGCAGACUCUCAUUAAAGACCUGUCAACGUCAAUUGAAAUAAAGGCAGAAUCAAAAAAUAUGAAUUAUGAUAUGAGGAUGCAGACGCAUAAUAGCAAUUGGUGGGGGGAGCAUGGGAGGAAUGGAGGAACUUUAGAUAGGGC